GAUGAACGCUGGCGGCGUGCCUAAUACAUGCAAGUCGAGCGAACGGACGAGAAGCUUGCUUCUCUGAUGUUAGCGGCGGACGGGUGAGUAACACGUGGAUAACCUACCUAUAAGACUGGGAUAACUUCGGGAAACCGGAGCUAAUACCGGAUAAUAUUUUGAACCGCAUGGUUCAAAAGUGAAAGACGGUCUUGCUGUCACUUAUAGAUGGAUCCGCGCUGCAUUAGCUAGUUGGUAAGGUAACGGCUUACCAAGGCAACGAUGCAUAGCCGACCUGAGAGGGUGAUCGGCCACACUGGAACUGAGACACGGUCCAGACUCCUGCGGGAGGCAGCAGUAGGGAAUCUUCCGCAAUGGGCGAAAGCCUGACAGAGCAACGCCGCGUGAGUGAUGAAGGUCUUCGGAUCGUAAAACUCUGUUAUUAGGGAAGAACAUAUGUGUAAGUAACUGUGCACAUCUUGACGGUACCUAAUCAGAAAGCCACGGCUAACUACGUG
rnacentral:rRNA from 1 species